rnacentral:rRNA from 1 species
CCCUUAGAUGUUCGGGGCCGCACGCGCGCUACACUGAAGGAAUCAGCACGUCUUUCUCCUUGUCCGAAAGGACUGGGUAACCCGCUGAACCUCCUUCGUGCUAGGGAUUGGGGCUUGUAAUUCUUCCCCAUGAACGAGGAAUUCCCAGUAAGCGCGAGUCAUAAGCUCACGUUGAUUACGUCCCUGCCCUUUGUACACACCGCCCGUCGCUACUACCGAUUGGAUGGUUUAGUGAGAUCCUCGGAUUGGUCCCGGCGCGGCCUCUGGUCGUGCCGGAGUGCCGAAAAGAAUGUCGAACUUGAUCAUCUAGAGGAAGUAAAAGUCGUAACA